GUUUUGUUACACAUUUUGUUACACCUUAGUUAUACAGUAACCCGGAUUGGUGGACCAUUGUAAAGUUGAGUUUUUGGGGUAGCAUAGAUUUAUAUCGUUGUAUUCCUUUUGUUUGUGUUAACCAAUUGUUGUUCGGAAUUAUUUUUCAUACAUCAUUAAUUGAUCUUGCAAUUACUUGUAAUUUAGUUUGGGUCUUAUUUCUUGAGUGUCAUAUUUUGGCUAUGUUUGUGUUCGAUCAUACAGUAUAAUAAGUCGGUAGUUGCCCGCGAAUGGAUUUUUUAAAAAUUUCUUGUGACUCUUUGCGUCUUAUUUGUUGAUUGCAGUUGGUUUUUGUUUUGUGUCAUGUGGAGAUAUGGUGUUAUUUUGUUUUUCUUUUCAUGUGUUUGCAUCUUAAAU
rnacentral:lncRNA from 1 species